rnacentral:lncRNA from 1 species
AUAGAGUGCGUCCCAACCGAUUCGCGGCCCCACCCCGGCAUCUGUGCCGGCCGGCCAGGGGGUCACCCAGAUUUUUAUGUUUUAAAAGAUUUAUUCAGGCCGGGCGCCGUGGCUCACGCCUGUAAUCCCGGCACUUUGGGAGGCCGAGGCGGGCGGAUCACCUGAGAUCAAGAGUUCGAGACCAGUCUGGCCAACAUGUUCAGAAUUCUAUCCUCUGAAAAACAAGAAGACAAGAAAAUGAUUUGAGGACAGCUUCAAUCGCGGUGUGAAGAAGAAAGCAACAAAACGACCACUGAAAACAAUGCCGGUGGCAAAACAUCCAAAGAAAGGGUCCCAAGUGGUACAUCGUCAUAGCUGGAAACAGUCAGAGCCACCAGCCAAUGAUCUUUUCAAUGCUGCGAAAGCUGCCAAAAGUGACAUGCAGUGUGGCCAUGAGGUCUGCCGGAAGUGACUUGUUGGUGUUAUCUCCUGAGUUAAAAUGUGAAGGGAUUUUUUUUUUUCAGAUUACUGAGAGUCUUCAGUUACUAGAUCCAGACACGGGGACUGCAGAGA